rnacentral:rRNA from 1 species
CCUACGGGGGACAGCAGUGGGGAAUAUUGCACAAUGGGGGAAACCCUGAUGCAGUGACGCCGCGUGAGUGAAGAAGUAUCUCGGUACGUAAAGCUCUAUCAGCAGGGAAGAAAAUGACGGUACCUGACUAAGAAGCCCCGGCUAACUACGUGCCAGCAGCCGCGGUAAUACGUAGGGGGCAAGCGUUAUCAGGAUUUACUGGGGGUAAAGGGAGCGUAGACGGCAGCACAAGUCUGGAGUGAAAUCCCGGGGCUUAACCCCGGAACUGCUUUGGAAACUGUGCGGCUGGAGUGCAGGAGGGGUAAGCGGAAUUCCGAGUGUAGCGGUGAAAUGCGUAGAUAUUAGGAGGAACACCGGUGGCGAAGGCGGCUUACUGGACUGUAACUGACGUUGAGGCUCGAAAGCGUGGGGAGCAAACAGGAUUAGAUACCCCUGUAGUG